AUUGAACGCUGGCGGCAGGCUUAACACAUGCAAGUCGAGCGGGGGAAGGUAGCUUGCUACCGGGCCUAGCGGCGGACGGGUGAGUAAUGCUUAGGAAUCUGCCUAUUAGUGGGGGACAACAUCUCGAAAGGGAUGCUAAUACCGCAUACGUCCUACGGGAGAAAGCAGGGGAUCUUCGGACCUUGCGCUAAUAGAUGAGCCUAAGUCGGAUUAGCUAGUUGGUGGGGUAAAGGCCUACCAAGGCGACGAUCUGUAGCGGGUCUGAGAGGAUGAUCCGCCACACUGGGGCUGAGACACGGCCCAGACUCCUACGGGAGGCAGCAGUGGGGAAUAUUGGACAAUGGGGGGAACCCUGAUCCAGCCAUGCUGCGUGUGUGAAGAAGGCCUUAUGGUUGUAAAGCACUUUAAGCGAGGAGGAGGCUACUUUAGUUAAUACCUAGAGAUAGUGGACGUUACUCGCAGAAUAAGCACCGGCUAACUCUGUGCCAGCCGCCGCCGUAA
rnacentral:rRNA from 1 species